AUGAACGCUGGCGGCGUGCUUAACCCCUGCAAGUCGCACGAGAAGUGAAGACGGAAACCUUCGGGCGGAAGGCUUUAUUUCGAGUGGCGGACGGGUGAGUAACGCGUGGGUAACCUGCCUCAUACAGGGGGAUAACAGUUGGAAACGACUGUUAAUACCGCAUAAGACCACAGCACCGCAUGGUGCGGGGGUAAAAACUCCGGUGGUAUGAGAUGGACCCGCGUUCGAUUAGCCAGUUGGCGGGGUAACGGCCCACCAAAGCGACGAUCGAUAGCCGAUCUGAGAGGAUGACCGGCCACAUUGGGACUGAGACACGGCCCAAACUCCUACGGGAGGCAGCAGUGGGGAAUAUUGCACAAUGGGGGAAACCCUGAUGCAGCGACGCCGCGUGAGUGAAGAAGUAUUUCGGUAUGUAAAGCUCUAUCAGCAGGGAAGAAAAUGACGGUACCUGAGUAAGAAGCCCCGGCUAACUACGUG
rnacentral:rRNA from 1 species